rnacentral:rRNA from 1 species
UACAGAGGUCUCAAGCGUUUGUUCGGAUUCAUUGGGCGUAAAGGGUGUGUAGGUGGCGCGCUAAGUCGGGUGUGAAAUUUCGGAGCUUAACCCCGAAACUGCAUUCGAUACUGGCGUGCUUGAGGACUGGAGAGGAGACUGGAAUUCAUGGUGUAGCAGUGAAAUGCGUAGAGAUCAUGAGGAAGACCAGUGGCGAAGGCGGGUCUCUGGACAGUUCCUGACACUGAGACACGAAGGCCAGGGGAGCAAACGGG